rnacentral:lncRNA from 1 species
CCAGUUCCAUUCCCAGCGCUCCCAGUCCCUCCCAGUCCAUCCCAGUUCAUCCCAGUUCCAUUCCCAGUGCUCCCAGUUCAUCCCAGUUCAUCCCAGUUCCAUCCAAAUCAAUCCCAGUUCCAUUCCCAGCGCUCCCAGUCCCUCCCAAUUCCUCCCAGUUCCAUUCCCAGUGCUCCCAGUUAAUCCCAGUUCCAUUCAAAUCAAUCCCAGUUCCAUUCCCAGUCACUCCCAGUUCCCUCCCAGUCCCAUUCCCAGUGCUCCCAGUUCAUCCCAGUUCCAUUCCCAGUGCUCCCAGUCCAUCCCAGUCCCAUUCCCAGUGCUCCCAGUUCAUCCCAGUUCCAUUCCCAGUGCUCCCACUUCAUCCCAGUCCAGCCACAAACGAGACCCGAACGCUCCAAUUUUGGGAAAAUCCAAACUUUUAUUUUCUUCCCCCAAAAAUCCCGGGAAGCAGCAGAGGGAAUUUGAGAUUUUCCCGAAAUUUGGGAUAUACCCCCCACCAAAAAAAAAAAAAAAAAAACAAAUAAAAAAAAUUGGGAAUUCCAGGAAAUCUGGGAAUCCUCCCCCAAAAAAUUGGGAAUUCCCAGGAAAUUUGGGAUUCCCCUGACCAAAAAUUGGGAAUUCCCAAGAAAUUUAUUCCCCCAACCAAAAAUUGGGAAUUCCCAAGAAAUUUAUUCCCCCAACCAAAAAUUGGGAAUUCCCAAGAAAUUUGGGAUUCCCCCGACCAAAAAUUGGGAAUUCCCAGGAAAAAAUUUGGGAAUUUGGGGUCUCACCCCAAGGAACUUUGGGCCCACUUGGCCAUUUUGGGGCCCCCCAUGGAAUUUGGGAUUUCCCACCAAAAUUCGGGAAUUUGGGGUCUCAUCCCAUGGAAUUUUGGGCCCCCUCAGGAUUUUGGGACCCCCAAAAUUGGGGAAUUUCCCUCAGGCCGCCCGUCCCAGUAACACCAGUGGCACCAGUAAGGGGUUGAGGGGGGGGCACUGGGGGGGCUCGGGGCUCUGGGGGGGCUCUCGGGGGGCGCUCAGGGACCCCCAAAGCCGCCGGAGCCGCCGCCGGAGCCCCCCCGGAGCUCCCAGUGCUCCCAGUUCGGCCGGCAGCGCUCCCAGUAAGGCCAGAACCACCGCGGCCUCUGCGGGGGGGGGAAAAGGGGUCAGCACCCCCCGAAAUGGGAAUGGAACCUCCCCAGUUUAAACUGGGAACCCCAAAAUGGGAUUGGGAACCCCCAAAAUUGGAAUGGAACCUCCCCAGUUUGAACUGGGACGCUCCCAGUAAGGCCAGAACCACCGCGGCCUCUG